ACUCAAAUGAAUAGACGGGGGCCCGCACAAGCAGCGGAGCGUGUGGUUUAAUUCGAGGCUACACGAAGAACCUUACCUGGGUUGGACAUGCCAGUGGUAGGGAGCCGAAAGGCAACCGACCUUCGGGAGCUGGUACAGGUGCUGCAUGGCUGUCGUCAGCUCGUGUCGUGAGAUGUUCGGUUAAGUCCGAAAACGAGCGCAACCCCCAGUGUGCGUUACAGGUGUCGCACACGACUGCCCGUGACAAACGGGAGGAAGGUGGGGAUGACGUCAAGUCAGCAUGGCCUUUAUAUCCAGGGCUACACACACGCUACAAUGGUCGGUACAACGGGACGCGAAACCGCGAGGGGGAGCCAAUCUCUGAAAGCCGAUCGUAGUUCGGAUUGCAGGCUGCAACUCGCCUGCAUGAAGCUGGAGUUGCUAGUAACCGCGCGUCAGCCAUAGUGCGGUGAAUACGUUCCCGGGCCUUGUACACACCGCCCGU
rnacentral:rRNA from 1 species